CUGACGGGCAAGCAAACUGUUGCUUUUCUCCUUCCGUUGGAACCAAAACAAGGAGGGUUGGAGAAGCACGGGAAUGAGCUGUAGCAAGAGGCUCGACAAAUGGGUCUUUGGGAAGAAGCUGGUGGAGGAUCGGAAUUGAUUGCCGCGACCCCCGCUUCUGAACUUGAAGGCGGAGAAGGUGGGUCACGUGGGCAGAACGCACUUUCCCUCCAGUUCGGUGCCCGCGUCCUACUUGGAAAAUCCCCGAAGAUCGCGGUCGUCUGUCAAAUUCCGCAAACCCAUGCGGUCGCCCCUUGGGGCAGGAGAGCCGCCGCCUCAACUCCCAGAACGGAGUUUUUGUUCUACAAGCAAAUACGUGUCCACUGUCGGUAGGGAAUGUUAAGGGAGAAAAAGCCCUUAGCUUUCUCUUCUCCCGCCGAAAGAUGCACUGAAAAAUCUCCGCAGUUGUGUAGCGUGAAUUGUCCGUUUUCGGGGUCCUGAAAGAGCAGUUCAGUGGUAGGUAGGUUCUGUGUGUAUUUUGGAAAAGCAAACGAGGGACCGAAAUCAAAAUUCAUAGGAAAGUUUGUGGUAGGUCCAGUAAUUAAUUGAUAAACUCGUUAUUGUAAAAAUACUGAACGGAACAUUUACAUAGGUCUUGGGGGCUUGUAGCAGCCUGGUUAUAGGGGUGACAGGAAAAGGAAGAGUGGUCCAAGUAAUCCAUCUUUUUAAGGGAAUUGCAGGUACUGUGCAUUCUACACACCAGUCACAUACGUGGUAAGAUCAUUUUUUUCUGUCCCAUUGUCAAGAGGAGUCCUACAACAUCAGACUAAAAUGUAAUGCCACAACCUACAUGUAAGGUAAAAAAUUAUGGUAUGUCCACGUGAUGGUAUUUGUUAUGCAGCCAAGAAAAAUCAUUUUGUGUAAUAUUUAAUUGUAUGCAGUAUGUUUAAGCGUAUCGAAAAAAAUUUAAUGUGACACCUGAACAGUGGAGUUACAGGUAAUUUUUAUUUAACAUUGGAGAUCUUUGGUAAAAUUUGAGUGAAAUAGUCAUUUCCAGAGGAUCUUUGCCUUCUUUUAUAAGCACAUUUAUUUAAGACAGGUUAAAAAAUGAAUAUACAAUUUUAAGUUUCCAUAAAUGUGAAAAGGCACUGCUUCAGAUAUGUGAAUUAUAAAUGUUUGCUGGCCACAUAUGAGUGAAAAAUGGUUAGCUUCCUGAGUAAAUGCAAGAGUCUUUAUACUAGAGUGAUUGGUACUAGACGGUCCCCAAAAUUGCUUACCAAUAGAAUGAAUUUUAAACAGUUUUUGAGAAAUUAGAAGUAUAGACAAGACUGAACAUCUGUGUGGGUAAAACAGAUAUUGAAUACUGAACCAGAUUUUUAAAGACGAAACCAUG
rnacentral:lncRNA from 1 species